rnacentral:tRNA from 1 species
AAAGAAUUAGUUAAAAUAUAACAUAAAUUUGUCAAAUUUAAAUUAUUAAUAUUAAUAUUCUUUU